UUCCAACAUAGGGUCUCCACUCCCUAGUUGAUGUUAUUUUAGACAUAGGGUCUCCACUCCCUAGUCUUUUUUCAAACAUAGAGUCUCCACUCCCUAGUUUAUUUUAUUUUAGACAUAGGGUCUCCACCUCCACUCCCUAGUCUCUUUUCCAACAUAGGGUCUCCACUCCCUAGUUGAUAUUAUUUUAGACAUAGUGUCUCCACUCUCUAGUCUUUUUUUUAACAUAGGGUCUUCACUCCCUAGUUUAGUUUAUUUUAGACAUAGGGUCUCCACUCACUAGUUGCUUUUCCAACAUAGGGUCUCCACUCACUAGUUGGUGUUAUU
rnacentral:lncRNA from 1 species